UAAAAUUAGUAAACAAUACAACAUAAUUAAUUUAAAUAUUAAUUAAAACAUUAUUAGAUUUAGUAAAGGUGAUUAAAAAUUUAUUAUAUUGUUUAAAAAAGUACUGUGAGGGAAAAUAAUUAAAUUGUAUGUAUAAAAAAAUAAACUUUUGUACCUUUUGCAUCAUGGUUUAACUAGAUUAAAAUUCUAAAAGAGAAGUUCUCGAAAUCUAAUGAGCUAUCUUUAACCUUCGUAAUAGAGUUAAAAGAGUAAUUGUAGCAGAAAUUUUCUUAGAGUUAAAGAUAGAAAUGAAAUUUUAUUCGCAUUAGAUGAUAGCUAGUUUUCCCCGAAAAACAUAGAAGUGUGUAAGACUAAUAAAAUAAUUAGCAAUUUAAAUGGUUAGUUUAUAUUUUAGUCUAAUCAUAUUUUUGAGGAUAAGCUCAAAAAUUUUUUAUAUUUCUGCGUUUAAUUUUAUAUUUAAACUUAAUCUUGAAAAUAGCUAUUGUUAAAGAAUUUGUUAUAAUUUCAUUACUAAGAAAGAAAUAGAAUUAAUUUGCUAAAAACAUAGGGGAAUUAUUUCAUAAAUUUUGAAAUGAAUUAUAUAUCUGUUAAAAUUAGUAUUAAAAUCAAUUUAAAAAAUAAAAUUAUAUAAUCUUAAAACAUAAAUUUAAAUUUCAAUAUAAAAUUAUAAAAAGGAACUCGGCAAAAGACAUUCUGCCUGUUUAUCAAAAACAUGGCUUCAUGAAAUCUUAAUAAAUAUAUAAUAAAUAUAUAUUUUUAUAUACAUAUAUGAAGUCGGGCCUGCCCAGUGAGUUUAUUCAACGGCCGCGGUACCCUGACCGUGCAAAGGUAGCAUAAUACUUGCCUUAUAAUUGAAGGCUGGAAUGAAUGGUUUGACAAGAGUGUAGCUGUCUCAUUAUAAUUUAAUAGAAUUUUAUUUUAGGAUGAAAAAGUCCUAGUUUAAUUAAAAGACAAGAAGACCCUAUCGAGCUUGAAAUUAAUUAGUAAAAAAUUAAUACUUAAAAAAUUAGUUAUUAAAAAUUUUGGUUGGGGCAACUAAGGAGCAAAAAAAGCCUCUUUUCUAAAGUUAA
rnacentral:rRNA from 1 species